rnacentral:rRNA from 1 species
CCUACGGGGGGCAGCAGUGAGGAAUAUUGGUCAAUGGACGAGAGUCUGAACCAGCCAAGUAGCGUGAAGGAUGACUGCCCUAUGGGUUGUAAACUUCUUUUAUAUGGGAAUAAAAUGUUCCACGUGUGGGAUUUUGUAUGUACCAUAUGAAUAAGGAUCGGCUAACUCCGUGCCAGCAGCCGCGGUAAUACGGAGGUUCCGGGCGUUAUCCGGAUUUAUUGGGUUAAAAGGGGGCGUAGGUGGAUUGUUAAGGCAGUGGUAAAAUCGCGGGGCUAAACCUGGCUCCGCAGUGGAAACUGGCGUUCUUGAGUGGGCGAGAAGUAUGCGGAAUGCGUGGUGUAGCGGUGAAAUGCAUAGAUAUCACGCAGAACUCCGAUUGCGAAGGCAGCAUACCGGCGCCCAACUGACGCUGAAGCACGAAGGCGUGGGUAUCGAACAGGAUUAGAUACCCUAGUAGUC